GAGGGCUUGGCCUAGGGUUUGAUAGACAAAAAGAACCCAUGGGGAAGGUGUGGGGACUGAACUGGUGGGCAGAUGACAGGGAAAUGAAAACUGCUUCUAAACCCGCUC
rnacentral:lncRNA from 14 species